UACAGAGGUCUCAAGCGUUGUUCGGAUUCAUUGGGCGUAAAGCGCACGUAGGCGGUUUGUUAAGUCGGAUGUGAAAUCCCUCGGCUCAACUGAGGAAGUGCACCCGAAACUGGCAAGCUUGAGUACGAAAGAGGGUCGCGGAAUUCCCGGUGUAGAGGUGAAAUUCGUAGAUAUCGGGAGGAACACCGGUGGCGAAGGCGGCGACCUGGGUCGAUACUGACGCUGAGGUGCGAAAGCGUGGGGAGCAAACAGG
rnacentral:rRNA from 1 species